rnacentral:rRNA from 1 species
UACAGAGGUCUCAAGCGUUGUUCGGAUUCAUUGGGCGUAAAGGGUGCGUAGGCGGCGCGGUAAGUCGGGUGUGAAAUCUUGGAGCUUAACUCCGAAACUGCAUUCGAUACUGCCGUGCUUGAGGACUGGAGAGGAGAGUGGAAUUCCUGGUGUAGCGGUGAAAUGCGCAGAUAUCAGGAAGAACACCAAUGGCGAAGGCAGCUCUCUGGGACGGUACUGACGCUGAGACGCGAAAGCGUGGGGAGCGAACAGG